GCCUCUGACUCCAAUCGCUACCACUUUCCCCCUAAAGCUCCCACCUCUGAAGAUUCGCCUCAUAUCAUCUCCUCUGUGUAAUCUCUUCUCAGCUUCCCCUUGCCCCUAAGUCCCCACCCCUCCAUCCCCAGACAGGGAGCAUUAUCUCCGCUGGCUCCACUCUACUAGACCAGCAGAGAGACAGAGGAAGCAUUUACUCCCUGGCUUCAUUCUGUGGACCACCCACUGGGCAUAACCUCCUCCCCUAAGGGUGGGGUGUGCAUGAGUGUGUCCCAAGUGCCAUCGCCCAGGCAGGUGCAAGGACGUGUGAAACUGGAGGCGACAGCCUGGCAGGCUGUACCUGGAGUGGCUGAAAGGAGAUAGGGAGGGAUGCCAGGCAGUCCUUAAGGGGACCUGGGGAAGCUUCAUCUUCAACCCCAGACAAGGGUCAUUCACCUGAAAUGCCAGGACCAGGAAGUCCUGCCGGCUGCAGGCACAGCCUGUCCAACGUGAUUGGAAAUCACUUCCUGCUGUUCAUGUCCUCUUGGAAGGUCAGGUGACCGCAACAAGAUUCUAUUGGUUCCGUUUCUCUGGAGAGCCCUUGCUAAUACAAGUGAAAAAGCCAACAUGAAAAAGAGAUAAAAUACCAAGGAUUGAUAACGAUAAAGAGGAACUCCCACACUAUAUUGGGAGUAUAAAUUGGCACAGCCACUUUGGAAAACUAAUAGGAUUUACUAGAGCUGAUGAAACUGCCUUUGCAAAAUUUUUAACGACUUCUGCAUUCUGGCAAAUGAAUGACUGCACCUGACCCAUGACUCAUGACUCAACCAGUCCAGUGGACACCACCCUGAGGUGGACUCAGUGCACCAGGACCAUUUUCCACACCCCUAUGAUUUCAUCCCCAACCAAUCAGCAGCACUCAUUCCCUAGCCUGCUGGUCACCAAAUUAGCCAUGAAACCCAUGAAACCCCUACCUAGCCUAGCCUCUGAGUUCUGAGAGAGGCUGAUUUGAGUAAUAAAGUAAAAACUCCUGUUCUGCUUGGCUAGCCCUGUUUAUUAAACUUGUUCUCUACUG